rnacentral:misc_RNA from 1 species
UACGGAGGAUCCAAGCGUUAUCCGGAAUCACUGGGUUUAAAGCGUGCGUAGGCGGGACAAUAAGACAGAGGUGAAAGUCUGCAGCUUAACUGUAGAAUUGCCAUUGAUACUGUUGUGCUUGAGUGUUUAUGAAGUGGUUAGAAUAUGUAGUGUAGCGGUGAAAUGCAUAGAUAUUACAUAGAAUACCGAUUGCGAAGGCAGAUCACUAAUAAAAUACUGACGCUGAUGGACGAAAGCGUAGGUAGCGAACAGG